rnacentral:rRNA from 1 species
UACGAAGGGUGCAAGCGUUAAUCGGAAUUACUGGGCGUAAAGGGUGCGUAGGCGGUUCGUUAAGUCUGUCGUGAAAUCCCCGGGCUCAACCUGGGAAUGGCGAUGGAUACUGGCGAGCUAGAGUGUGUCAGAGGAUGGUGGAAUUCCCGGUGCAGCGGUGAAAUGCGUAGAGAUCGGGAGGAACAUCAGUGGCGAAGGCGGCCAUCUGGGACAACACUGACGCUGAAGCACGAAAGCGUGGGGAGCAAACAGG